rnacentral:rRNA from 1 species
AAUGAACGUUGGCGGCGUGGAUUAGGCAUGCAAGUCGAGCGAGAACCCGCAAGGGGGACAGCGGCAAACGGGGUAGGAAUGGUCGGUAACGUACCCUUCGGACGGGGAUAGCCACGGGAAACUGUGGGUAAUACCCGAUAACCUCCUUUCUUGUAACGGAGAGAGGAGCAAAGGUGAGAUUCCACCGGAGGAGCGGCUGACUUAGUAUUAGCUAGUUGGUGAGGUAAAAGCUUACCAAGGCAUCGAUGCUUAGGGGGUGUGAGAGCAUGGCCCCCACCACUGGGACUGAGAUACUGCCCAGACACCUACGGGUGGCUGCAGUCGAGGAUCUUCGGCAAUGGGCGCAAGCCUGACCGAGCGACGCCGCGUGUGGGAUGAAGGCCCUUGGGUUGUAAACCACUGUCGAGGGGGGACGAAAUGCGCGCGGGUACUCCCGUGCGUUUGACAGAGCCCCAGAGGAAGCGACGGGCUAAGUUCGUG